UGAAUCCGCGCGGGAGAGUUCCGGUCAACGCAUGGGCCGGGCGCCGAAGGAGCAAGUUCCUCCCUUGAAUCUCUCAGGCCCCGUACCGCGUGGAUGAG
rfam:Streptomyces sp. CB01580 scaffold7, whole genome shotgun sequence.